rnacentral:lncRNA from 1 species
CAGUUGGAAAGCAAGUCCUUCGAUACGGCCGUUGUCGUCAAGCUCUAUCAGCAACAAUAGCAGGGGGAAUUAAUUAGGUGGCGCUACAGUCGUCCGUAACGUCAAAAAGUCCGCCAAAUCUAUCGGCUAAAAGAUUGACGUUUAAAGUAUUUUUUGCAACUUGUCAUGCUUUUAUUAUAAUUAAAUUUUAAAAUUUGUAGGUUUUGUUACCAAUAUAAUUUAUUUACGAC